CACAGGUAUGGUGACAUGGUACCUAAAACUAUAGCCGGGAAGAUUUUUGGUUCCAUUUGUUCACUGAGUGGGGUCUUGGUCAUCGCACUGCCUGUUCCAGUGAUUGUAUCUAAC
rfam:Erinaceus europaeus unplaced genomic scaffold scaffold00257, whole genome shotgun sequence